GCUCCCACACCUUGGCAGGCUAGCUGCAGCCCUGGGUUUUCCCUGCUCACGGACGGGACCCUGGGACCGCUGCCCGGGAAGCUCAGGAGUCAGAGACCAUGGAGACUCAGCCAGCGGGGACUCCUGUCUGCACCUGAGGCCCAGGAUCCACGCUCCAAAGCCGUGCAGAGAAAAAGAGUAGCCUGGUGUGAGGCGUCCUGAGAUGAAAGAAGGACCCAAGCUUUAAACCACAUGGAAGAAAUGUCAAGUCUUGUGCCAGAGUCUCAGCUGGAAAUUCAGAAGCUGGAAAAUGCUGACUACCUCCUGCUUCCAGAAGGCAGAGGGCUGAGCACAUACAGGAGCCAGUCAGCUUGGGUUUCAAAUUUCAGCUGAGCCCCUUGGCAGCUGUGUGACCUG